GCCAUACCUUUGUUCUGGGGAGGCCCGGCUUCUUCCCUUCACAGCCAUUAUGCACGAUUCUGUUCAAUGCUGAGCGUUGAGCUUCCCAGUGAGUCUGAGUCGUGAUUUACCCAUCUCCGGAGGCAGAGAGUGACAGCCACUUAAGGCUUAUGUGAUGGAGACAUGGGGGGGCCUGAGGAACACCUGAGCUCUUUCAUAGGAAGCCAAGAGCAUCGCGAUCAAGAACUCAUCACAGGAUGAAAGUCACUACAAGAUAUAACGAGGGCACCACUGCAUCCAGCAGCAAGAGAUGAUGUGUCACUGAGCCCCCCCACUCGCUGUGCCUGCAGCCUAGAGUGCCUUCCCCUAGCUCGGCCCCUCUCUGGCUCACCCCGGUCUCCUCUGCCACCCCAGGCCACUCUCUUCUUUCCAUCCACAGGUCUGGGCUUGGUCCUGGAUACUUAUUUGUAUUAUGGCUAAUUUUCAUUCUCAGAUUGACUGGAUUGGGACGGCUCAGUUUGUUAGAGGUUAAAUCUGUGACUGUGUUUCCCGGAGAAGAAGAAGGCUUUCCCUGAAUGUAGGCAGCACCAUGUCAUGGGAGCCCAGACUGAAGGAGAGGAAAGGGGUGCCCUUUCUCUCUCUCUCUCUUCUUCUUUCUCUC